GAUGAAGAACGCAGCGAAAUGCGAUACUUGGUGUGAAUUGCAGAAUCCCGUGAACCAUCGAGUCUUUGAACGCAAGUUGCGCCCGAAGCCACUAGGCCGAGGGCACGCCUGCCUGGGCGUCACACGUCGUUGCCCCCCACCAUCUACUCCUUCGGGAUUGCGGGGGGCGGAUGAUGGCCUCCCGUGCGCCUAGCCGCGCGGUUGGCAUAAAUACCAAGUCCUCGGCGACGCGCGCCACGACAAUCGGUGGUUGCGAAACCUCGGUUGCCCGUCGUGUGCGUUCGUCGCGCAUCGAGGGCUCGAAAAAAUGCUCGGCUCCGGCUCGGCUUUCAACGCGACCCCAGGUCAGGCGGGGUUACCCGCUGAAUUUAAGCAUAUCAAUAAGCGGAGGA
rnacentral:misc_RNA from 1 species